AGUGGCGGACGGGUGAGUAACGCGUGAGAAUCUGCCUUGGGGUCGGGGACAACCACUGGAAACGGUGGCUAAUACCGGAUAAGCCGAUUGGUGAAAGAUUUAUUGCCCGAAGAGGAGCUCGCGUCUGAUUAGCUAGUUGGUGAGGUAAGAGCUCACCAAGGCAGCGAUCAGUAGCUGGUCUGAGAGGACGAUCAGCCACACUGGGACUGAGACACGGCCCAGACUCCUACGGGAGGCAGCAGUGGGGAAUUUUCCGCAAUGGGCGAAAGCCUGACGGAGCAAGACCGCGUGAGGGAGGAAGGCUCUUGGGUUGUAAACCUCUUUUCUCAGGGAAGAAGCUCUGACGGUACCUGAGGAAUCAGCCUCGGCUAACUCCGUGCCAGCAGCCGCGGUAAUACGGAGGAGGCAAGCGUUAUCCGGAAUUAUUGGGCGUAAAGCGUCCGCAGGUGGCGAUUCAAGUCUGCUGUCAAAGCACGGGGCUUAACUCCGUAAAGGCAGUGGAAACUGAAUAGCUAGAGUGCCGUAGGGGUAGAGGGAAUUCCCGGUGUAGCGGUGAAAUGCGUAGAGAUCGGGAAGAACAUCGGUGGCGAAAGCGCUCUACUGGACGGCAACUGACACUCAGGGACGAAAGCUAGGGAGCGAAUGGGAUUAGAUACCCC
rnacentral:rRNA from 1 species